rnacentral:sRNA from 1 species
GGUUUUAACCCAGUUACUCAAGGUUCGCUGGGGUUCCGACUAUUCGAAAGAAUGUGUUGAACAAAAACAUAACUUUUGGAACCGCUCUGCUGGGGUUUUCCGGUAGAGCAAA